rnacentral:rRNA from 1 species
GCCUCUAGAUAGAAAAUAGGUGCCCGUACCGCAAACCGACACAGGUAGUCAAGAUGAGAAUUCUAAGGUGAGCGAGCGAACUCUCGUUAAGGAACUCGGCAAAAUGACCCCGUAACUUCGGGAGAAGGGGUGCUCUUUAGGGUUAACGCCCAGAAGAGCCGCAGUGAAUAGGCCCAAGCGACUGUUUAUCAAAAACACAGGUCUCUGCUAAACCGUAAGGUGAUGUAUAGGGGCUGACGCCUGCCCGGUGCUGGAAGGUUAAGAGGAGUGGUUAGCUUCUGCGAAGCUACGAAUCGAAGCCCCAGUAAACGGCGGCCGUAACUAUAACGGUCCUAAGGUAGCGAAAUUCCUUGUCGGGUAAGUUCCGACCCGCACGAAAGGCGUAACGAUUUGGGCACUGUCUCAACGAGAGACUCGGUGAAAUCAUAGUACCUGUGAAGAUGCAGGUUACCCGCGACAGGACGGAAAGACCCCGUGGAGCUUUACUGUAGCCUGAUAUUGAAAUUCGGCACAG